UUUUAUUUUUCAGAUCUGCUCCUGAAUUUCAGAUCUUCAUGUUCUGGUCCACUCUAAGCAGAAAGCCACAUAGUCUUUUGUGGCCUGCACUGAAAUUAUUCCUCUUUCUGGGUGUGACUUUGCUAAUCCAGUUUUGGCAAUUCGUGAUUUCUAUCUGUCAGCUUAAAUCAAAGGAUUACACGCGAAACUCCCCGGUGUAUUUUGCAGAAAGCUUCCUCCUUGUACCCAUUAAGUCGGAGAGAACUGGUUGUUCCAUCUGUCCGUUCUUUGUUCAGGACUUUUCUCUCUUCCUGCGUCAGCAUCAAGGGCGUCCACACAAGGCUCGGAGGCUUCGUCGGCAGGCCUGUACUGCUCCUGUGCGCCUUCACUGUUCUCACUGACUGCGCAUGAGCAAAGAUUACCUCGCUCUAAUCCCUUUUGUGAGGGAACAUUCAAUGAACCGGACAGGCUCAUUCAUGGGUGCAGCUUUCAGGCAGUAAUGUGUCCCAUACAAACACAUACAAUUUGGGGGGCACUCUAUUUCAUAUUGAUCUAUG
ensembl:lncRNA